rnacentral:rRNA from 1 species
CCUACGGGACGCAGCAGUGGGGAAUAUUGCACAAUGGGGGAAACCCUGAUGCAGCGACGCCGCGGGAGUGAAGAAGUAUUUCGGUAUGUAAAGCUCUAUCAGAAGGGAAGAAAAUGACGGUACCUGACUAAGAAGCCCCGGCUAACUACGUGCCAGCAGCCGCGGUACUACGUAGGGGGCAAGCGUUAUCCGGAUUUACUGGGUGUAAAGGGAGCGUAGACGGUGAUGCA